rnacentral:rRNA from 1 species
GACAGAGGAGCCAAGCGUUGUCCGGACUGACUGGGCGUAAAGCGCACGCAGGCGGCGCUGUGCGUGGGGUGUGAAAGCUCUUGGCUUAACUGAGAGAGGCCAUCCCAUACGGCAGCGCUCGAGCGGUGCAGAGGUCCGCGGAAUUGCCGGUGUAGUGGUGAAAUGCGUAGAGAUCGGCAGGAACACCCAGGGGGGAAACCAGCGGACUGGGCAUCGGCUGACGCUCAGGUGCGACA